UGGCAAAAGAUUUUACGGUAACUUUGUAGCUUACAUUAUACAAGUUGGUUGGAUGGAGUCAGCUAGAUGGUUCAUUCUAGUUGGUUGCGAGAGGGUGAGCUUCAAAUGGCCUAUCAAGGUUCUCGAAGCUUUGGUAUUGAUCAUAGGUUUGGAGGUUUUGGUUAAUUAUUUUGUUGGUUGGUCUCUCCCCUUGUUUUGUGGAGUUGAGAUUAAUUAGUUAAUGUUCUCAAGUGUUAAGGCUCUUGUUUUUUCAGAUCUUAUGGGUUUUGUUUAUGAGAUUGUGAGGUCAGGCAAGUUGGCCUAGGUCGUCUCCUUUGAUUGGUGUGCACGUAAUACUAAUGAGAUGACACAUCGCUUGGCUCGUGCCCCAAUGUCAUCUGACGAUUGCGUUUGUUUAUUUGUUGCUAGUCCUUAUUCUUGUUCUAAAGAUGUGGCUAGGUUUUGUUGAA